rnacentral:rRNA from 1 species
GAGUUUGAUCAUGGCUCAGGAUUAACGCUGGCGGAGUGCCUAAUACAUGCAAGUCGAGCGGCAGCGCGAAGAGUUUACUCUUUGGCGGCGAGCGGCGGACGGCUGAGUAACGCGUGGGAACGUACCCCAAAGUGAGGAAUAACUGCCCGAAAGGGUAGCUAAUACCGCAUAUGAUCUUCGGAUUAAAGGAUUUGUCCGCUUUGGGAGCGGCCCGCGUACGAUUAGAUAGUUGGUGAGGUAAUGGCUCACCAAGUCGACGAUCGUUAACUGAUCUGAGAGAUGAUCAGUCAGACUGGAACUGAGACACGGUCCAGACUCCUACGGGAGGCAGCAGUAAGGAAUCUUCCACAAUGG